rnacentral:rRNA from 1 species
GCUUAGAAGCAGCCACCCUUUAAAGAGUGCGUAAUAGCUCACUGGUCAAGUGAUUCCGCGCCGACAAUGUAGCGGGGCUCAAGCACACCACCGAAGCUAUGGCAUUGAUACAUUGCCCGGCUGAUCCUCUUUUGGGGGUUCAGUCCAAGCGUAUUGAUGGGUAGGGGAGCGUCGUGUGGCGAGUGAAGCGGCGGAGUGAUCCAGUCGUGGAUGCCACACGAGUGAGAAUGCAGGCAUGAGUAGCGAAAGACGGGUGAGAAAC